rnacentral:rRNA from 1 species
CCCUUAGAUGUCCUGGGCCGCACGCGCGUUACACUGAUGCAUUCAACGAGCUUAUAACCUUGGCCGAGAGGCCUGGGCAAUCUUGUUAACGUGCAUCGUGAUAGGGAUAGAUUAUUGAAAUUAUUAAUCUUGAACGAUGAAUUCCUAGUAAACGCAGAUCAUCAAUCUGCAUUGAUUACGUCCCUGCCCUUUGUACACACCGCCCGUCGCACCUACCGAUUGGAUGGUCCGGUGAAGCCUCGGGAUUGUGGUUCUUGCCGCUUUAUUGUGGCGUGACCGCGAGAACUUGUCUAAACCUUAUCAUCUAGAGGAAGGUGAAGUCGUAACA